rnacentral:lncRNA from 1 species
UGCUACACUGAAGACUGCUUUAAAAAAUUUUAGCAAUAUUUUCUUCUCAAGGAUGAAGCGUACAGCAACCUGAUCGCCUUCCAAAAACUCUAUAAGGAUCACCUUUAAAAUCUUUUCUCAAAAGAUUGCCGUGCCUAUUCUGAUUUGGAUAUCUAACUCUUGGAUAUUCGAAUUUCUUAGAAAGACAGACAAUAUAUUUUUCUAAUUGAUUUC